rnacentral:rRNA from 2 species
UUAAUUUUGAACGAGUGGCGGACGGGUGAGUAACACGUGGGUAACCUGCCCUUAAGUGGGGGAUAACAUUUGGAAACAGAUGCUAAUACCGCAUAAAUCCAAGAACCGCAUGGUUCUUGGCUGAAAGAUGGCGUAAGCUAUCGCUUUUGGAUGGACCCGCGGCGUAUUAGCUAGUUGGUGAGGUAACGGCUCACCAAGGCAAUGAUACGUAGCCGAACUGAGAGGUUGAUCGGCCACAUUGGGACUGAGACACGGCCCAAACUCCUACGGGAGGCAGCAGUAGGGAAUCUUCCACAAUGGACGCAAGUCUGAUGGAGCAACCGCCGCGUGAGUGGAAGAAGGCUUUCGGGUCGUAAAACUCUGUUGUUGGGAGAAGAAUGGUCCGGCAGAGUAACUGUUGUCGGCCGUGACGGUAU